AUGGCCUCCAGGCUCCUCUGUUGGGCAGCCAUCUGCAUCCUAGGGUCAGGUCACACAGGGGCUGAAGUCACCCAAGAACCCAGGCACAGGGUCACAAAGACAGGGCAGGAUGUGGCCCUCAGGUGUCAUCCAAUUUCUGGUCACAAUGCCCUUUACUGGUACCGACAGACCCUGGGGCAGGGCCUGGAGUUUUUGAUGUACUUCCAAAACAAGGAUGAAGCAGACACGUCAGGAAUGCCUAAGGCUCGCUUCUCCACAGAGAGGCCUGAUGGGUCGUCCUCCACCCUGAGGAUCCAACCCGUGGAGCCAGGGGACUCGGCCGUGUAUCUCUGUGCCAGCAGCUUGGCCACAACGCAGCACUGCCACCUCCUUCCUGUACAUAAACCACAUCUCCCCCUGCCUCCUUGCAGCAACUAG